GUGGGGAAUUUUGGACAAUGGGCGCAAGCCUGAUCCAGCAAUGCCGCGUGCAGGAAGAAGGCCUUCGGGUUGUAAACUGCUUUUGUACGGAACGAAAAGGCUCUGGUUAAUACCUGGGGCUCAUGACGGUACCGUAAGAAUAAGCACCGGCUAACUACGUGCCAGCAGCCGCGGUAAUACGUAGGGUGCAAGCGUUAAUCGGAAUUACUGGGCGUAAAGCGUGCGCAGGCGGUUUUGUAAGACAGAGGUGAAAUCCCCGGGCUCAACCUGGGAAUUGCCUUUGUGACUGCAAGGGUGGAGUGCGGCAGAGGGGGAUGGAAUUCCGCGUGUAGCAGUGAAAUGCGUAGAUAUGCGGAGGAACACCGAUGGCGAAGGCAAUCCCCUGGGCCUGCACUGACGCUCAUGCACGAAAGCGUGGGGAGCAAACAGGAUUAGAUACCCCAGUAGUCC
rnacentral:rRNA from 1 species